UACGUAGGGUGCGAGCGUUGUCCGGAAUUAUUGGGCGUAAAGGGCUCGUAGGCGGUUUGUCGCGUCGGGAGUGAAAACCUUGGGCUUAACUCAGGGCUUGCUUUCGAUACGGGCAGACUAGAGGUAUGCAGGGGAGAACGGAAUUCCUGGUGUAGCGGUGAAAUGCGCAGAUAUCAGGAGGAACACCGGUGGCGAAGGCGGUUCUCAGGGCAUGAUCUGACGCUGAGGAGCGAAAGUGUGGGGAGCGAACAGG
rnacentral:rRNA from 1 species